GGUGAGGUGGCCGAGAGGCUGAAGGCGGCGGUUUGCUAAACCGUUGAGGGGGCUUUAACCUCCUCCCAGGGUUCGAAUCCCUGCCUCACCGCCA
rnacentral:tRNA from 2 species